AUUGAACGCUGGCGGCAGGCUUAACACAUGCAAGUCGAGCGAGCGGCGGACGGGUGAGUAAUGUCUGGGAAACUGCCUGAUGGAGGGGGAUAACUACUGGAAACGGUAGCUAAUACCGCAUACCAUCAGAUGUGCCCAGAUGGGCUUAGCUAGUAGGUGGGGUAAUGGCUCACCUAGGCGACGAUCCCUAGCUGGUCUGAGAGGAUGCCCAGCCACCCUGGAACUUAGACACGGUCCGUACGCCUGCGGGAGGCAGCAGUGGGGAAUAUGGGACAGUGGGCGCAAGCCUGAUGCAGCCAUGCCGCGUGUGUUGAGAAGGCCUUCGGGUUGUAAAGCACUUUCAGCGAGUGGGCGGUACUCGCAGAAGAAGCACCGGCUAACUCCGUGCCAGCAGCCGCGGUAAUUC
rnacentral:rRNA from 1 species